AUAUGAAGUAUUUUCACCAUCGCCCAUAUUUAUUCAUUCAGUACUAUUUAGCUAAUAUUUGUUGAUUAUGUACUAUGAGCCAUAGAAAUAGAAAAAAGAUUAAGACACAUGGUCCCAUGGUUCCUUGAGAAAAGCCAGAGAAAAUGGCUAAUUUUAGAUAAAAAUAAUGACAAUGAAGGAAAUGAGUACUUUAUAUGAAGUUGUUAGGGAAGUCCUUCUGAGAUGAUAUUUGGGAUAUAAGAAAAUAAGAAUAUGAAAAGAAUCCAUUCUUAUGACAAUGUACAGGUGGAGGACUCCACCCAGAAGGAAGAGAAGGUACAUAUACUCAGGCAUGAAUGAUUUAUUUCAGAAACAGAAAGGUGCCAAGUGUGGCUGGAGCACACUGAGCAAGGGGCACAGUGACACAAGAUGAGGUUCAAGAGAGCCAGAGGCAGGGCCAUAGGGAGCUUGGCAGUCCUUGAAGCUCAUGCUCUUUUGUGUUCAAGGGGAAUCAAGUACACAGGGAGAGGGGUCUUAAGAGAGGAGUAACUUAAAAAAAAUUCAAAUUCUGAACAUUUACUGUGGCUCCUGUAGCAAUGGAUUGUACAGUGGUGAGAAAAGAUCAGGGAGGCCAGCUGGAGGACAACUGAAGUAGUCUUGGCAAAAGAUGAUGGCAUAAACCUCAGGUGGGGCACUGGAAGUUGACCAAUGGGAUUUGAUGGAGAAGAUUCAAGAGAGGCAAAGGAAAGGGAAGCGCCAAGGAGACUCCUAAAUUUAAGCAAAUCGUCAAGACAAAGACCUGUGGCCUCGUCAAAGUUUGUUGAAGCAAAUGUUUCAGGUUGCCCCUCAAGUUCCAGGACGGGUAUCUUUUUAAGUAUCGACACCAAGAUUGGAGGCAGAAACGUGCAGGGAAAGCAUGGGAUUAAAAGAACCUGAGAAAAUGGACAGCACUGUUGGGGGCUUGUGAGUUCCUGUCACAGUACUGAGCUUGAACAAUUUCGAUUAAAGCCCCAUGUUUGAGACUGUCAUUAGACCUGCAUUAAAUUACAUAUCUGGAGUGUUAAAAAAUAAAGAGUACAGUAGCUUUUUCUCAGCUACCUAAGGUGAGUGAAGCUGCAAGUUGAGGCCCUGUCCACAUAUAAAUACUGGAAGAGCUGAAAUCCAGGGAGACUGCUGAAAAAAAAAUUGACAACAACCACAAAAGACUUUAUUUUUUAUUGCACGAGGCCCACAUAUGACUUUGAAUAUUUUUUAGUCUGUUGUUUGGUGACGCCUAAGAAGAGUCCUGCUGCCAAUGUUCCUCACCUUGCCUCCCGUGGAAAGGGAAUGAUGUGCACAGACUCUUGUUAUGCAAAGGGAAAAAACAAGGGACAAUACGUUGCUGCUGAUGCAGGUGAUGAUGAUACAACCCAGCAGAAGAAGAUGAACUUCUUCCUGAAGAUGGAGCGACUACUCCUGGUCCGUGGUAGGUCUUUAUAGCAAGAAGGCCUCUUUAACUGCUUCUUGUUGAAACGUAUCCAUUUGGUGUGUGCCCUGUGAAACUCCAAAGCGAUAGCAGCAGCAAAUGCAUCUAUAAUGGCAUAAACAUGUAACAGCAUCCAACUAUACAGUCAAUAGCAAGAAGGCAGCUCUUAAUUCAGCUCUUAAUUUGCUCUGGCCUUCCAAACAAGGAAGAAGGUCUUCAGAGAGAAAACACUUAAAUGAUGUAAAAUGAAGAUUGUCAUCCAAAUGAGGGAUUAGUGAAAAGGAACAGAGCUACUAGAAGUAAGUUCCAUAUUACAGGCCCACAUACAGAAUCAAUAGAUGUUCUUUCAAAGAUCCAACCCUCACAACUUUUGAAGCAUCACAUACAACAAAGGAAGUCUCAAUUUGAAACAAAGGAGGAUUAUGGAUCUCAGAAACUGAGAAAAGGUGACAUUGUCAUAGAGCCAUGAAAUUCUGGGUUUGACAGUAAACAAAUCAACUCGUGAUGAUUACACAGCAAAUAUGUGGGAUAUUAUAGCUGGUAAGUGUUGUAGAGGUUAUUUCACAAAGCAUCUUCCUCCUUUAUUUCAUAGAUAAAGGAACCCCUGUUUGGGGCUGCCAUGUCUCUCCCAAACUUUUGUUAUCAGUGGAGCUUAGAACGUAGACCAUCUGUCACAGAGGUAAGUGUUUCUUGAAUUAAUAUCCAUAAUUCCAUUACUGGUCUCUCUGCUCACCUUAUUGCCCUUCUAUAGUCUAUUCUAUACAUAAUACCAAAACGAUCUUUUAAACCUGAAUUCAGAUCAUUUGACUAUGCCUAAUAAACUUUCUAGUGGUUUGUUAUCA
ensembl:lncRNA